rnacentral:pre_miRNA from 1 species
AUAAUCAAGUAAUUCGUUUUGUCCAUUUCAAUCGAAGGCAGUGACCCUAUUACUAAAACAUGUUAUACUCCAAUUCUGUCACAGGUUAUAGUAAUGGGCUCAUCGUUUUCGGUGGAGAUGGAUAAAAUGAAUGACUUGAUUA